rnacentral:rRNA from 1 species
AUCGAACGCUGGCGGCAGGCUUAACACAUGCAAGUCGAGCGAGUGGCGGACGGGUGAGUAAUGUCUGGGAAACUGCCUGAUGGAGGGGGAUAACUACUGGAAACGGUAGCUAAUACCGCAUACCAUCAUAUUUGCCCAGAUGGGAUUAGCUAGUGGGUGGGGUAAUGGCUCACAUAGGCGACGAUCCCUAGCUGGUCUGAGAGGAUGACCGGCCACACUGGAACUGGACACCGGUCCGGCCUCCUACGGAGGGCGGCAGUGGGGAUCAUUGCACAAUGGGCGCAAGCCUAAUGCGGCCAUGCCGCGUGUGUGAAGAGGGCCUUCGGGUUGUAAGGCACUUUCAGCGGGAAGGCGUUACUCGCAGAGGAAGCACCGGCUAACUCCGUGCCAGCAGCCGCGGUAAUUC